rnacentral:rRNA from 1 species
UACGGAGGGUGCGAGCGUUAUCCGGAUUCACUGGGUUUAAAGGGUGCGUAGGUGGGAAUGUAAGUCAAUGGUGAAAUCUCUGAGCUUAACUCAGAAACUGCCAUUGAUACUAUGUUUCUUGAAUUUUCUGGAGGUCAGCGGAAUAUGUCAUGUAGCGGUGAAAUGCUUAGAUAUGACAUAGAACACCAAUUGCGAAGGCAGCUGGCUACAGGGAUAUUGACACUGAGGCACGAAAGCGUGGGGAUCAAACAGG